UGCCUCAUACUCGGGAAUAGCCUUGCGAAAGUAAGAUUAAUGCCCGGUGUUUUCAGAGUCCCGCAUGAGGCUUUGAACAAAGAUUUAUCGGUAUGAGAUGGCGAUGCGUCCCAUUAGCUUGUUGGCGGGGUAACGGCCCACCAAGGCAUCGAUGGGUAGGGGUUCUGAGAGGAAGGUCCCCCACAUUGGAACUGAGACACGGUCCAAACUCCUACGGGAGGCAGCAGUGAGGAAUAUUGGUCAAUGGGCGGAAGCCUGAACCAGCCAAGUAGCGUGCAGGAAGACGGCCCUCCGGGUUGUAAACUGCUUUUAGUUGGGAAUAAAACGGGGCUCGUGAGCCCCCUUGCAUGUACCAUCAGAAAAAGGACCGGCUAAUUCCGUGCCAGCAGCCGCGGUAAUACGGAAGGUCCGGGCGUUAUCCGGAUUUAUUGGGUUUAAAGGGAGCGCAGGCGGACCUUUAAGUCAGCUGUGAAAUACGGCGGCUCAACCGUCGAACUGCAGUUGAUACUGGAGGUCUUGAGUGCACACAGGGAUGCUGGAAUUCAUGGUGUAGCGGUGAAAUGCUCAGAUAUCAUGAAGAACUCCGAUCGCGAAGGCAGGCAUCCGGGGUGCAACUGACGCUGAGGCUCGAAAGUGCGGGUAUCAAACAGGAUUAGAUACCCUGGUAGUCCGCACAGUAAACGAUGAAUACUCGCGGUUUGCGAUACAGUGUAAGCCGCCA
rnacentral:rRNA from 1 species